UGCAUCGGCCGGGAAUCGAACCCGGGCUGCCCGCGUGGCAGGCGAGCAUUCAACCACUGAACCACCGAUGG
rnacentral:tRNA from 1 species